rnacentral:rRNA from 1 species
AUUCGCCCUUUGCCACMCCGCGGUAAUACGAAGGGUGCAAGCGUUAAUCGGAAUUACUGGGCGUAAAGGGUGCGUARMCGGUUUGUUAAGYCGGAUGUGAAAGCCCCGGGCUCAAYCUGGGAACUGCAUYCGAAACUGGCAGGCUAGAGUGCGAUAGAGGAUGGUGGAAUUCCCGGUGUAGCGGUGAAAUGCGUAGAGAUCGGGAGGAACAUCUGUGGCGAAGGCGGCCAUCUGGAUCAGCACUGACGUUGAGGCACGAAAGCGUGGGGAGCAAACAGGAUUAGAUACCCUGGUAGU